AGUAGCUUGGUCGUGAGGUAACGGCUCACCAAGGCGAUCAUCAGUAGCUGGCCGGAGAGGGCGAACGGCCACACUGGAACUGAGACACGGUCCAGACUCCUACGGGAGGCAGCAGUGAAUAAUUGGCAGCAAUGGGCGGAAGCCUGACGCAGCAACGCCGGGUGGAGGAUGAAGGCCUUCGGGUGUAAAACUCCUGUCAGUGGGGACGAAUGCCUCGCAAGAUGUUUGAUGUACCCGUUGAGGAAGCCACGGCUAACUCCGUGCCAGCAGCCGCGGUAAUACGGAGGUGGCAAGCGUUGUUUGGAAUUACUGGGCGUAAAGGGCGGGUAGGCGGGUAGUCAAAUCAUGUGUGAAAGCCCCGGGCUUAACUCGGGAAUGCACCUGAAUCUGCCUUGCUUGAGUCCUGGAGGGGGUAGCGGAAUUCCCAGUGUAGCGGUGAAAUGCGUAGAUAAAGGGAGGAACACCUGCGGCGAAGGCGGCUACUUUGACAGUGAAUGACGGUGAGGCGCGAAAGCUAGGGUAGCGAACCGGAUUAGAUACCCCGGUAGUUCUAGCCGUAAACGAUGGACACCUGGUGUUGGGGGUAGUGAGUCCAUCAG
rnacentral:rRNA from 1 species